UAUAAGAGGUCCGCCUGCCCGGUGAAAAUUUAACGGCCGCGGUACCCUGACCGUGCGAAGGUAGCAUAAUCACUUGUUCUUUAAAUAGGGACUCGUAUCAACGGCAUCACGAGGGUUACACUGUCUCCUUUCUCCCAUCAGUGAAACUGAUCUCCCCGUGAAGAAGCGGGGAUACAACCAUAAGACGAGAAGACCCCAUGGAGCUUUAAAUUAAUAGCAACUCAGUCAAACAAACCCUUAUAGUCCACAGAGCCAUGUAAAUAAAUUUUAGGUUGGGGUGACCGCGGAGUAAAAAUUAACCUCCACGACGAAAAGAACUGAAUCUUUAUCCAAGAGCUACAACUCUAGAAUUAGAACACUAACGACAAUGACCCGAUAAUCGAUCAACGGAACAAGUUACCCUGGGGAUAACAGCGCAAUCUACUUCGAGAGCUCAUAUCGACAAGUAGGCUUACGACCUCGAUGUUGGAUCAGGGUAUCCCAGUGGUGCAGCCGCUACUAAAGGUUCGUUUGUUCAACGAUUAAAA
rnacentral:rRNA from 1 species